GAUGACGAACGUAGCGAAAUGCGAUAAGUAAUGUGAAUUGCAGAAUUCAGUGAAUCAUCGAAUCUUUGAACGCACAUUGCGCCCGCCAGCAUUCUGGCGGGCAUGCCUGUUCGAGCGUCAUUUCAACCCUCGAGCCCCCCCGGGGGCCUCGGUGUUGGGGGACGGCACACCAGCCGCCCCCGAAAUGCAGUGGCGACCCCGCCGCAGCCUCCCCUGCGUAGUAGCACACACCUCGCACCGGAGCGCGGAGGCGGUCACGCCGUAAAACGCCCAACUUUCUUAGAGUUGACCUCGGAUCAGGUAGGAAUACCCGCUGAACUUAAGCAUAUCAAUAAGCGGAGGA
rnacentral:misc_RNA from 1 species